GGCAGUGUUAAAACCUAUACCGUGACGUCAUUUUACAGAUACGGAUACAGCAUUCUUAUUAAUGUCGCUUUCUGCAGGAAUCGUCAACAUUGCUUGUAUGGUAUUGAUGGUAGCGUUUUCCAUGAACUCAUAUACACAUUUAACUGUAUAUAUAAACAAAAUUGCUGUCCUUAUCAAUAUAUUGCUGAAAGUAUUCAAAAGGAUCGUUGAUCAGGAGACGUGGCUUAUCACCGCUGGCAUGAUACAUAUAUUGCUGAUUUCGAUUUCCCGCCUGAUUUGUCCAGGUUCAUUACUAGAUUUGAAGACAAAAGUAUGUGCAUAUACACAGCGUUGCAUAAUAUCCCAGUGUUACAUACAAAUUGAUGAUCUCUAAUAUCAUAUUGCAUUUACGUUCAGCAGUUCUCCAGCAUAUAUCUGUUGAUAAAACCGUGAGAAAGUCAUACGCAAGAUGUUCCGAUUGUAUUUGUACAUUUACACCAAUAAUGGUUCCCCCUAUCAAAGUACCGACCUUGACAAGCAAUGUAACAGUUGAAGGUGAUGUCACAGAGGAGAACAGAAGACUGACAGAGCGCAUAUUGUGCAUCAACUGUAAGACACGAAACAGAGAAGUUACAUACAUUCCAUGUGGACAUUUCUUAUACUGUUCUAUCUGUGACAAUCUGAAGUAUCACAGAAUCUGCCCCUUAUGUCAUACCAGAAUUAAAGGGUCAGUCCGUGAGGGGCAAUAGUUUAAGUGUGCCAUUUUGUAAUUAGAGAGUAUCUGAUAAAACGUUUAUUUAUUCUUUGUUGUAAAGUUUCUUGCUUAGCCCAAGGCGUUCUUCCACUUCACAGCAGUAUACCUUUCAUUUGCACAUGUUAACUUGAUAUGUAACACCCGAAUAAAAUUGAAACGAGAGUGAAUGUUGAGUAACAGUGUGAACAAGUGAAUGUAUAUCAUUGCCUUAAUAACGGCAUUUUUCUAAGAUGAAGAGAUUAUGUGAUAGAUGCAAACGUCUACUUGAUCAUAUUAAAUCAUGCCGAAUUUUUUUCGAACAAACUGCAGUUACCUGCAGUUACACAAGAUUGGUCUGAUGCAUGGUUUGGAAUGUAUAUAUUGUAUAGGAAAUACUAUAAUAUUUUCAUAAUGGCCACAGGCAGAGGUCGAUGACCUAUUACAGAGCCAUUAUUAAAACACAUGUCUUCUUGUUAUUAUUUUACAUAAUCUAUUUAAGAUGCUUUGAAUUAGAUACAUGUCAAUAUACUACAAAUCUGGAACAGUGAUGAAUCACUUUUUUAGAUAUAAAUCAUUUUAACAUUUUCUUUUUAUACGCCCGUUUUGAAAAAACGGAUGUGUGAUGUGAUGACGCGUACGUCUGUCUGUCUGUCUGUCUUUCUGUUAUAAUUUUUGUCCGGAGCAUAAAGUUAUAACGAAGAAAGGUAACUUUAAACUUGGCAUAUAGAUAGAUGGCGAUGAGACGAUGUGAAGAGCGCUUGAAUCGACUAUGAAGAUCAAAGUUCAAGGUCACAAAUUGAGUUGAAAGGUCGAAACUGUCCAUCAUAUUUUGUGUCUGGAGCAUAACAAAAUAACCAUGCAAGGUAUUGACUUCAAACUUGGCAUGUAGGUAGGUGGCAAUGAGGCGAUGUACAAAGCACAUAAACCGGUUCCGUAGGUCAAAUGUCAAGGUCACAAACUGAGCUCAAAAUUCGAAGCCGUCCGUCAUAUUUAGUGUCCGGAGCAUAACUUAUUAACCAUUUAAGAUAUUGACUUCAAACCUGGUAUGUAGGUAGAUAGUGAUGAGACAAUGUACAUAGAACAUGAUAUUGAUCUGUAGGUUUAAGGUCAAGGUCAUAAUCUGAGCUCAAAGGUCAGAUCUACCCUUCAUAUUUAGUGUAUUAACCAUACAAGGUAAUGACUUCAAACUUGGGAUGUAUGUAGGUGGUGAUAUGAGGAUGUGUAGAGUGCAUGAACUAGGGUGGUAAAUCAAAGGUCAAGGUCAAAUCUGCCCAUCAUAUUUCGUGUCCAGAGCAUCAUUUAAAAGUAUAAUAUGCAGACUGCAACAAUCUACAUUACACCCCCGCUCCCGCCCCCAGAAAUCAUUUAGUUUAUUGUCCUUUAGUAUCUUGCCC